UUAAAUAUGAAAAAAGUAGGUGGCAGCACCAGUCGUUCACAAUCUUUUUUAGCAACCGAGUAACCGUCAAAUGAAUAAAAGUUUCGUACGAUUGAAAUUUAAAUCACCUGAUUAAAUUGUUUAUUAACAAUGAGAAAGUUUGAUAGUUGUCUACAAUAAAAUUUAAUAACUAGUAAUUAAAACAAUUAUAAACGUCAAGGCCGGGACGUUGAUAACAAUUAUGUAUACGUAUAUUGGAAACUACGAAACAUUAAUUAAAUUAUUUGCUAAGAGGUAUCUGACAACGUUAAAGUUCGUAUUUCUAAUUAGUAAAAUUAAUUCUCGACCUCGGUGACAAGGUACUCUAGUCUCAAUUAGUCUUACGGCAAUUGGCUGAGAAACUGACGUCUGGGACGUCAAUGCGAAAUUGCUUUUCCGAAUACAAUAAUCAGCUUACUGAUAAUAUAUCAUGAUUCACGAUGCACUGCACGUAAGUACUAAAUAUUAAUCUAUUUAUUAUAUACAGAGGUAUCGAAUAGCAACUUGUUAUUUAACGAUAAAUAAUAAAUAAAAUUUAUUGACACACAGGAGCUGGAUAAAAUGAAAGAUUAAUAAUAAAUGUUCACUGAGCAACAAAAUAAGGACAAAUUGCUUCGAUCUCGAUCUUGAUAUUGCUAAGAAUAUUCAAAUGAAUAGAACUCGGAGUUGAGUGAAUCGUUUGAUAUCUUCGGCUUGAAAUACCGCAGAGUAAUGCGCAUUGAAAUCAAUGAUUUGAUUUGAGGUUCUCCGAUUGAUCAAAUGCACGCAUGAAUUUACACCAGAUUAUUGAAAAUAUUUAAAAGUGUAUACUUGGAAAAUAAAAAUAAAAACAAGAUGUGAAAUAAUCGAUGAGCAGGAAGGUGAUGUGUUGAGAGAUGAUCGAUUGGACAAAUGAGUACACUUGAGUUUUAUUUUCCGAAGUUUUUUUGAAUCAACGAAAAUCAACUGUGCAGAAAAAGGGUUAAUAAAUAUUUUUAGUUUUUCACCUGGUGUACCGUACAAGUUUUGGGAAAACAGCCCGCGGAUUUACAAAAUGAAAAUGUAGCAGACUCGUGAGCACCGUCUGUUCACUUAUUCCAAUAUCUCGAAAACCAGUAGUGACAGAUGCUGUUGUACGAACAGAGCCACGAAUACGUGCCAUCACGAAUGUUAUUACUCUAGAUCUUGAGUACUGAACUGAAGAUAACCCACCCAAGUAUAUACCUUACAAAGUUUUCCCAUAAAAUAAUAUUUUAUGCUGAAUAACGAGAAAACAGUUUUUAUUAAUUAUUCCAACAAAUUCUUGGAUAAAUUUUCUGAAGCUUUUGACCUGGUUGAAUAGAGGAAUAAGAAAAGUAUCAAUUGAUAGCUCGAGAAUAUUUCAAAAGCUGCUUUUUAGGGAAAUAAAUAAAAACCCGUAGUAUUGUAAAUUCUAGAAAUAUCAAGACGUCAGAAAACAGUUAUAUUUCAAGCAAAAAGUAUUAUUUAAUAUUUAAAAUAAAACGCUACUGGUCGCAAAUAAAUAUUUAUAGAAAAAAAUAACUGAUCCGCAAAUAAGAGCGGUGUAUUUUGAGGGUACUCGUAUUUUUAAUGGUAUUCAAAUGACAUUAAUAUGUUUUGAUAGACCAUUAGGCUGUGAACCAAAGUACCCUGUCGUAUUGAAUCAUGUCAUUCUGACGCUAAUGUAAUGUUCGAUGUUGGCAUCACUGAGAAGACACAAUAGCACACAUAGCCCGAUCGGAAAUACUGCUCUUUCGA